AGGCUGCAGCGACUGAACCCCUUUUCUUCCUUCUCUCUAACACAGUUACUGCUGCCCAAAUCAAUACCAGAAGCCAUGGCUCUUCCUCUUCCUUUUCCCCUGCCGUUUCUCCCAUUAAUCUCUCCACUUCCAUAUCCUGGCUGCCCCUUUAAAUUUCCCCUCUCCUGGGCAGCAAAUCCUUUCGCUUUCCCAUUCCCUCUAUAGGCAGGCCCGGCCACAACUCGGGGCAUAAUCGACGCCGGUCGUUCCAUCCGCCGCCAGCCAGGUAACCACCGCCAUCUCGCUCGCAGCCAUGCUCUGAUUCCAUUUUACCUUCAGCCCACACCACAGCAGCCCUUUCUCUGGCGAGCACCUGCACUGAACCCACCCUUCGUCUUCUGUAGUCAGCAACCAGGUAGGUACAGUGGGUUUAGUUUCUAGAAGAUGGAUUAUAGAGACACUUGGGGCCUUGUGAAAAAAGUUGUUUUGUUCACCAAGAUUAUUCGUAGUGAAUCUGCAGGUUUGUGCAGUGGCAAAAUUAUUCAGUUUAUUUAGCACUGUUGGAGAAUAGCUCAUGUUCUAGUCAGGGGAUCUUUAGUCUUCCAGUUUCAGUAGUGGCAGCUAGCAUGAUAUCCUUUAUUUCAGUCUAUAUUCUGUAAUUGUUUGCCAUGAAGUUCAGAAUUGUUUAGUUGGUAGAUACUUCACUGUAGGUUACAGCAUGCUAGUUUUCUGAUUCAGUAGCACAUAGGAGGACUAUAUGCUUGCAAGUUAUUUGUUUUAGUUCCAUAAAUCCCUGCUACCUUGUAUGAUUUUUUGCCUGCCAAUUCAGUGAGGUAUAGGCUGCUGUUCUGAAUCUGUUUCGGUGACAGUAGUGGAUUUUUAGUUUUCGGUAUGCUGCUGUUUCUGAAUAUGCUCCAGUGCUUGUCCAGGUUGCCAAUAUAGAUUCUGCUAUACUCCUGCUUGUGCUAGAAAGGCAUAUUUCUGUUUGUAGCUUCAGAAUCAUCUUUUGCUGUUUUACAUUAUAUUACAGAAACUCUGUUCUUCCAUGCUUAGUCUGUUGUCCAUUAUUAAGUUCUACAUAUUGUUUGCAUCUUGCUUCUGAGAAAGAAACUAGUGUUUUAUUAUUGGAUGAUUCACAUGCUUAGUAAAGUAGCUGUCCUGCUCUCUUUUCCUUACUGUAUGUUCAUGUUUGCUUGAUUCUUGAGUGCCUAAAUAAAUAAGACCAUACUACUUUACUUAAUAAGGUUAUGUGGGAGGAUAUCAUUAUAUACUAUGGUUAAGGACCUUAGGAGGCCAGCAUUAAGGAUUCUCUAGUUUCACACGCUUUUGCCAUUCCACAACUCAGAGACACACACACUCCGUGUACCACCCUAUCCUUUCUAAACCGGUUCAAGUGUUGAUCUCGUUUUCUCUCGGAUUCUUUUAUUGGAUUCGUUUAUUUAUUUGGUGGCACUUUAUUUUUACGACGAUUAGGGAGUGACGGGAUCGACCACAACCAGGGCCACGAAGGAGAAGAACAAUACCCCGACAACGAAGGCAUGCCCCCCCCCCCCUCUCUUUGAUCAUAUUUAUCCUAUGUUUUCAAAUGGGCAUUAGUUAAUUAUUUUAUUGUUUUAUAAACAUGCAUGCUAUUUCAAUCCUAUAGCUAGUGUGUCGAUUGACACUUUGCCGUGAUCUGCUUGUCGCCAUUCAUUUGAUACCUGGAGUAGUUUAUAUAGUAUUCUUGUAGAGUAGAAAUGCUUAGCCUUGCUCACUAUUCAUUAGUAAAUCUCAAUUGUUUCGAGUGAUCUUCGGAUCGAUGUAUCAUUGUUGAUAAUUGUUGAGAUCGCUUAGCUGGGUGUAGUCCCUCUUCUUGGAAUCUCCUACUCUCUCUACCUACUCUGGGUGAAACUUACCAUACAACAGGUGCAGGCGACAGCUGAAUCAUUGGUUGAAGGAGCAAUUGUUAGCCUGCGUGGGAGCAAUUAGCCGCCCGUAGAGGAUGAGGCCUAAUGAGUCCUGAAUUUGAAGAUUGUGACAACAGUGCGACCACACGCUAUAUGGGCUCUGGCUUGGUCAAGUAAGCUAGUUAAUCUUAGGUGCCGAUGAUGCCGUACCGCAAAAGACCUUGUCACAAAUGUCUAUGACCAAUAAGUUUGAGAUGUCUAUGAUGAGUGAAUUGGAAUUCUUCCUUGGAUUUGGAUUUGAAAUCAAGCAAUUGAGAGGAGAAAUCCUCAUUAAUCAAGCUAAAUACACCCAAGACAUGCUCUUGAGAUUCAAGAUGGAUGAUGCCAAGAGUGCAAUGACUCCAAUGCUAACAUCAAGUUCUCUUGAUCUUGAUCCCAAUGGUAAUACGUGGAUCAAAAGGUAUUGUUCUAUGUUUGGUUUUUUAUUCUACCUUUGUGCAUCUAGACCGGACUUUAUGUUGAGUGUGGGUGUUUGUGCAAGAUGUCAAUCCGCACCAAAAGGUCACUUAGUGGCGGUCAAAAGAAUCUUUUGAUACUUGGUUCAUACAUCAAACUUUGGAUUACGGCAUCCUAAAGGAUCGAGUUUCAAGCUUUUUGGUUAUUCGGAUUUGGAUUGGGAGGGAGACAAAAUGGAUAUGAUGCCCACAUCCUGGGCUUGCCAAUUUAAUUGUAGGUCUUUGGUGUGUUGGUAUUCUAAGAAGCAAAAUUAUGUGUCACUAUCUACCUCCGAAGCCGAGUAUGUCGCAGCCGCAAGUUGUUGUGCACAAUUGUGAUGGAUGCGGCAAACCUUAUUGGACUUUGGACUCGCUUGUGAAAGUGUGCCUCUUUUGUGUGACAAUGGGGGUGCUAUCAAGAUUGUCCACAACCCCAUGCAACAUAGCAAGACGAAGCAUAUUGAGAUUCGUCAUCAUUUCUUUUAAGUGCACGUGGAAUGUGGUGACAUAUAUUGAGCUCUCAUUUUUAACCACCGGCAAGCAACUAGCGGAUAUUUUCAUGAAGCAACUUGACGAAGCAAGAUUGUGUCAAUUGAGGUGUGAGCUAAAUAUCAUAAGAUUCAAGUAAUGUGGUAUGAUGAACUUGCACAGCCACCCAUGGUUGACAUUUAUCUUGUUUUGGUGUACGCGUGAAUGUAGGGGGAGCAUAGCUCUAUUCAUGGGCAAAUGCUACUUCUACUGUGCAUAAAUUGUUUUAUUUACUUUGUGCUUAAAUGUGAGUUUUGAUUCUUGAGCCCAAGAUCUUUCUUCGUGGUGUCAAGAUCAUAUAUGCUCAAACAUGGUGGCUAAGGCCACCACCUCCUCAUGUGAGGAGUUGGUUCUUAUUUGGAAUUCAUUGCAUAUCUAGACAAUAUGUCAUUAUAUGAUUAUCAAUGGAAAAACACUCAAAAUUGGUUUUAGAAUUUGCAUCUUGCAAUUUGAGUGUGUAUUGCCAUAUUAUAUCCUUUGUGUGCAUCUUAUCCGAAGCCUCUUAUCUUACCUUGAAACCAUCUAUUCUCAAAGCACAAGUUCCAUGUUUUGAAACUUGGAGGUUCUGCCAUUCCAGGGCGGUACAACCGCUCCUCCCAGGGCGGUACUACCGGACGGUGGUACAACCAACCUACACAGGGCGGUACGACCACCGACAGUGGAUUUCUAAAGAGUGAAUGGGCUAGGGCUGGUCGAGUGGGGUUUUCUUCCCACUCCAUCCGUGCCCCCAACCCUAUAGUUCCUCCACUCUCUUCUUUGGCAAACUCCCCAAGCUAUUGCUUGGAUCCACUGGUUCUCCGGUUCUCCCAAAGAUGUAUUCCAAGGGAAUCGUUCCCCUUCAUCUCCUCGACCAUGAAGACCAAUAAUGUUUCAAUUCCCCAUUCUCUAGAGUUCUGUUUUUGGAACCCUAAGUGUGGUUUGAGAGAAGUUGCAAUGUCUAGUGGUGGAAUCUAGUCUUGGAGUAGCUUUGUUCCCGGGAGUUUGUGUGCUUAUCUAUUCCCUCGUAUCUAUAGAUCUUUCACAAGUGCUAGCUCAAGCAAGGCCCUCGCAAAGAAAAUGAGAGAAAGAGAGAUCUUUAGAGAUGAAGAAGCAUGCUGAAUCAAGGUUUGGUUAUGAAGGUGACUUGGGUGUUUAUGCUUUGAUACAUUUUGUGUAAGACAUGUUCUUUAUAUGCUUGAGAUGUAAUAACUUGUCAUGUGCUUAAUGUUCACUUUGUGAUGUGCUUUGUGCCUAUUUUGACUUGCUAUAUCUCAUAUGUGCUUUAUAUCUAUCUCAUGUCUUACUAAUCAUGUGUGGAGAUGCUUGUGAUUUUGCGCUUGUAGAAUUUGCUCCAUCACAUGAUCACUUUACCAAAGGUAUGCCCUUCGUGGGAUAGUUUGUGAGACAUGGUUAACUUCUAUAUGCAUGAGUCUUAAUAGCUUAAGUCAUUUGGUGUUAUUUUGCUUUACUCUAUACCUAUGACUUGCUAUGUUUUUAUGAUCUAUUGUUUCAUGCAUAUUUGCUCCAUGCCUAUAUCAUGUCUUACUAAUCUUGUGUGGAGAUGUUGUCAAUUUUUGCCCUUAUAGAAUUGUUCCAUCACAAGAUCUCAUUGCAAAAGGUAUGAUUUCAAUUGUUAGAUUUAUCUAACCCAUUAUGCUUCAUGGAAGCAUUGUUCUAUAUAUUGUUGGAUAAGUCCAUGUAGGAUUCAUUCAUUUUUGAUAUGCCUCUUGGAGGUAUGCUCUAUAUCUUGUAUGAAUGAUCCCUUACAUAUCUUUGCGAAUCUCUCAUUGAAAUAUCCUUAAUCCUUUGCAAUUGAGUUGUUGGUUUAUAAAAUUUAGGGGGAGCGUUGAUCCUCGAGUAUGUGCACUUUGCAUUCCAAAAGCAAAUUUAAAUGUUGCAUAUAUCUAGGGGGAGCUCGUCUAUAUUUUAUAUCCCUUUGUUUUAAACUUUAUUGUUAUAUCUUAUUGCAAAUUAUUGUGUUGUCAUCAAACACAAAAAAGGGGGAGAUUGAAAGGGCAUUUCGAUCCCUAAGUGUUUUGGUGUUAAUGACAACAUGACUCGUGGACUAACCGUGUGCUCGAGUGUUUUAGAUAUGAGAUCAAAUGGCACAAGACGGUUUGUUGCCCUCAAAAAGGAAAGAAGCGUAGAAGGAUUUACGACUUUUUAUUUAUAUUGAGUCGUCGGAAAUCCGUACUACUAAAAGGGAGUCCACAUGGGAAAGGUUUGGGUGAAUCAACUUCACGUACACAAAUCUACUAUAUUUGCACCUACAUAAAGCCGUUUCGUAAGUGGGAGAGAGACCACCUCAUAAUCUUAGCCUAAGGGUUUAGUGCCUAAAUGUUUCUAGGGUGGCAGUGCAACUCUGUCCAGGCCGGUAGUACCGCCCUAGUACCGGAACCGCAUCUAAACGCUACUGUCUUCAAGCGGUAGUGGGGCGGUAGCGGAACGGUGCUACCGUUGGCAGUAGUACCUCUCUGCUACCUCUCUACCACCCGGCUACGCGAAAUACAGUUAACGAUCAGAUUUUGAGGCGCCCUUUAAAUAGGAGUCGUCCCCAAUCUCGGGACGACUUCUCCACCGAGCUAUUCCUCUAUCCCCCAAAUACAAGAUCUUCAAAUUUCUAGAUCUCCCUUCCUGGUGCUUCCUCACUCUUGAUUCUUUGAGGAUUGGAGGAGACGAUCUUGAUCCAGGGUUUCACCAAAUUGAAAAGUUGAUUCCCCUUGUUUCCUUUGUGGAUUUUGUUACUCUUGAGAUUUUGGGAUCCCCAGUCGGAAGGUGUCUCUUCAAGGCCUCCAAUCUUGUGAGGAGGUGCUUGAGGAUUUGGGAAGAAACCUUCAAUUAAGUUGUGGAGUUGUGCCCUUCUCCUCGUUUGUAAGGGUUCGGCAUUCGCCCUCAAGGAAGCCACUAGUGGAACUCACCUCGCCUUAGUGGUGUUGUGAGAGCUCAUCCCAUCUUUGUGGUGUGGUGAGUUGGAGAAUAGAGUGAGCAUUUGUGGCGCCUCUACGUUUGUGGUAGAGCACUCCUCCAAACGGAGACGUACACCGACCCAAAUAGGUGGAACUCGGGUGAAAUCUUCGUCUCCCCGUGUGGUAUCAUUCUUGCCCCCUCACUUACUUGCUAAGCUUAAUUGUUUAGCUUGUGCUUCGGCUAGUGCUUCAGCUAUUGCAUCAUACUAGGGGUGUUCAUCAUUUAGACCUUUUAGUGAACCCAUGUAUUGAUGCUUGUGUCUUUAGAAGUGAAAACAAAAGGUAAAAUUUGUUAGUCGACCAAACCGAUCUUUCAGGUCCUUAAGUUGAUGGUAGAGUGUGGAGCUGCUGAAGGGACUCCAUUAUUUCACACGGCAACCAAAAUUGUCAUGAAACUUGAGUACCGUGAGUUAUACAUGCUGAUUCAAAUGAACGAGGGCAGGUUAAAUUGGCUAGAAAGAGAGCAUGCAGACAUGACCAAAACCUUAUAUCAUUUUCAAUGAUGUGUAUUGUUGUUUGAGUUGUAUUAGCUGAGCACUGUUGUUUGAGUUGUGUUAGUUGAGCACUGUUGUUUGAGUUUAAGACUUCUAUGUUGUCAUCUGUUUUCAUGCUGCCAUGUAUGUGUUGACAUGGAUGCAUGUGUAAGUGCUCAUGUAUGCCUCUAGUACUUGCUGCCAUGUUUGGCAUGUAUUUGAAUACCCUUUUGGAAGUAUUGUUUGUUGUACUGGAUGUAUUUGACUUUAAGUUUCUUGCUGUUUGAUGCAUGUAGUACUUCCUGUUAUGCAUGUCAUGCAUUAAUUAAUUGUGUUGUCUUUUAUGUAGAUGAAUCAAAUUGUUCUGCAACCUGAUAAGGCUGCAAAGAGAAGGAAGUUGCUUCAGGAGUAUGAAAAUUUGGC
rnacentral:lncRNA from 1 species